AUUGAACGCUGGCGGCAGGCCUAACACAUGCAAGUCGAACGAGUGGCGGACGGGUGAGUAAUGUCUGGGAAACUGCCUGAUGGAGGGGGUUAACUACUGGAAACGGUAGCUAAUACCGCAUACCAUCGGAUGUGCCCAGAUGGGAUUAGCUAGUAGGUGGGGUAAAGGCUCACCUAGGCGACGAUCCCUAGCUGGUCUGAGAGGAUGACCAACAACACUGAGACUGAGACACGGUCCAGAGUCGUAGGGGAGGCGGCAGUGGGGAAUAGUGAACAUUGGGCGGAAGCGUAAUGCAGCAAUGCCGAUUGUAUGAAAGAGGCCUUCGGGUUGUAAAGUACUGACAGCGGGGAGGCGUUACCCGCAGGAGAAGCACCGGCUAACUCCGUGCAAGCAGCCGCGGGAAUUC
rnacentral:rRNA from 1 species